UUACGGCUAUAUCACAUUGAAACACCGGUUCCCUUACGAUCACUGAAGUUAAGAAACGUCGAGCCUGGUCAGUAGCUAGAUGGGUGACCGCUUGUAAGC
rnacentral:rRNA from 1 species